UACGUAGGGGGCAAGCGUUGUCCGGAAUCAUUGGGCGUAAAGAGCGUGUAGGCGGCUCGAUAAGUCUGCUGUGAAAGUCCAGGGCUCAACCCUGGAAGGCCGGUGGAAACUGUCGGGCUAGAGUCCGGAAGAGGCGAGUGGAAUUCCCGGUGUAGCGGUGAAAUGCGCAGAUAUCAGGAAGAACACCAAUGGCGAAGGCAGCUCUCUGGGACGGUACUGACGCUGAGACGCGAAAGCGUGGGGAGCGAACAGG
rnacentral:rRNA from 1 species